GAGAAUCAGGCCCAGGCUUUACAGGGAGGAAAAGAGAAUCAAAAAUGGCAGUCCUGCUUAAGUGAAGUUAAAUAUGAAUUCAAGCUCUGAAACUGCAUACAAGAAGUUUCUUUCAUACCCUCUGGUAGCAAAUAAAAUUACCCAGUCCCGUUCUUUGCCUCUGCUCUGAUAUCUCCUUGCUCAGAGAUCUGAAGCGAGGAAGGACACAAACUCAGCCAUAACACCCUGGUUUGGAAGGCCAUAGAGAAGCACCAUCUCUUCAGAAGAGUAACUCCCAUUUUGCUGACCAACGCCUUCUUCAACACAGGCCUUCCUAAAAUGGCAGAUAUGUACUUAAAGGCCCUACCGACACUGCUUGUGGUUUGUCAUCACCCUUCCAUGCACAGAGCUACCUGUUCAAAAUUAAAACACAGGCAUCAGAAGCGGGGACAGGUGGCAGGGCAGUGCUGAGGGCCUUCUUGCCUUUCUCUGGCUCCCAGCCAUGGUGGCAGGUGGACAUGGGCUCCACUUCACAGAGCCAUCACUCCCUCAGCUGAACACAGCUGUGGUGGGCUGCAAACAUAGCUCUGUGACCACGCGGCUGGGCCAGAAACACAGCAAGGACCCUGAAUUGCCUUGCUCACCCUGCUAACCAAAACAUUGUUCUGUGGAGAAAAGGGGUGAGGCGCUGCUCCUUCAGCAACGGCGUGGUGCAGGAAGGAGUGAGGGGCCUCACGGGCAGCAUGGGGCUCAUAGCAGCCUCUGUUUCAAAGUUUAAAUCUCUCCAGUGCCUUGCUAGGCAAAUCUGCUUACCGUGGCAAUAAACAGUGAGGCAAGAUGUAACCCGGUGCUGGGCUGCACUCUGACAGAAACAAGUAAAAAUAAUGCUCACUGGAGUCAGGCUCUCUUUAAAGCCUAAGAGAGUUUUGCAGAGGUGUUUUGCAGUGCAUGCAUACUAAUAGCAUUUCAACAGGAAUUUUCACCGAAUGCCCUAAUGCGUGAGAAUAGCAUGCACAUCUGAAAAAUCAACAGCCCACUUCCCCCCACUGGAGGAAAUGGAUUAAGCAGUAUUUUCUGUAGUACAAUGGACCUGACUGAAGGAAUAACAUGGCUUUUGAUAUAUGAUAAUUGUAGGAGACUGACACAAAAAAUAGGCCAAAUAAAGUCCUCAAAGGUACGUAUAUAGAACAUUUUCAAGGCCUGGAAAUAGCUUGUAUACAGAACAUCCUCUUUUUAUUCAGCCAAAAGAAUGUGCUUACACUGCAUAAAGGACAAGGGGUGGGAGUUACAAGUUGCUUCCUGUGAUUAUUUCCAGCCGUAAUCAAUGCAGUACUGAGUUAUUGGUUCUGUAAAGAGCCUGCUCUAUGCUAGCUAUGGAAAAAUAAAAUCCAAAAAGAGGAAGAGAGAGAGAGAAAAAGAAGGAGGGGGGAAGAGAAGGAGCUCAAGAAGGACUGCACUAUUAGAAGCAGAAAAACAGGUUCCUAAAGGAUGAAUUUGAGCUCAGGUGGGCACUUAAAUCUUUUAAAUCUUCAGGGAAGUAAAUUCUCUACCUUGCUGUAAAAAUAUGUAGCACUCAAAUGGGCUGUUUAUGACAGAGAAUAUCUGUGCUUAUAACUGAGAUCUGUCACAAUCAUGUAAUGCCAUGAAUGGGUGCUGAAAUUAAGGACUUCAAGUGAAAAAAAGAAAAAAAAGGGAAAAAAAAAAAAAAGCAAAGAGGGUACAACGGAGUCAGUCUUCCAAAAGCCUAUGAAAAUGUAGGCUCACUUAUGAGUAUUUCAUAUCCUAAAGGCAGAUUAUUUCCACAAGAAUCAGAAUAAGAUUUGACUGUAAAGAUGGAUUUGAAUAUUGGCUCCUGCGGUGCUUCCCUUAAUUCCGAAAUAAGUAUAAACAAGACCAGGUCUGAUACCAUAACAUGCUGUUUUUCUUUCUGUGAUGGUGGGUGCUGUUACCACCACAAGAUGACGGUCCUGUCCAUCCUGCUUCCUUCCCCACUAACAUCCCUUCCCAUUCCCUCCCUUUUUCCCCAGCAUUCAGUUUGGCAUUCAAAUCAAAGGUUUGCUUUGAAGUUAGAACCUAAAAUGGGGAGUUGAUAACUAUUUUCCUCUGAGUGCUUUAGUGAUGAUGAAUUGCUGACCAUGGAAAGGAAACGGCUUUCUUCUUCUUUCUUUUUUUUUCAUUUUCAUUUACAUGCAAGCAGUAAAAGUCAGGUUCCACACUGCAGAUAUGUGCAAAUUCAUCCAGUGACUGUGUGUGCUACAGCAAAUCCUAUGGAGAUAAGGAGCUAAAGCAGCAGGGGUGCAGCAACAUAAGCUUCAAAGCUAGACAUGCAAUUUAAUAGGCAACAAACUUAACAAAGAGCGAGGGGAUAUUUAACAGAGAGGUGAAAUAUUUCAGCUAUGAAGAAACAGAAAAUUGCUGUGAUGACCAGAGGUUUAGUGCUGUACUUCAAAAUGGAAUGUUUUCAUGGGAAGACAUAGACAUUUACCCAGGAGUUGGUUUAACUAAUGUUUUUUUUUUUUUUUUUUUUUUUUUUUCCAAGCACAGGUAUAUUCUGAGGGAUGAGGAUUGUUGUUUCGAACAGAAUUAAGUGUAUGUAUACUGGUAAUUGAUGCUGAAUGCACAAGGUAAUCAUCCUGUUCUUCAUAAAUGAUGGUGCUUAAUCAUAAGUAAAUUAGACCAUGUCAAUCUUUUAGGAGGCAAUUAAAGCAAUAGACUUUCCAUGGCCUGUUUUCACAUGCAUAGGGACUGAUUUAACUCCCAUCUACCUCUCUUGGGCAUAAGGCUUGCUUUCAGCACAGCUGCAGAUGACUUUUACCACUGUCAAAAGUAACUGACAAGUCCAUAAUACAGAGCACAAAUGUUCUUCAAAAAGAAAAAAAUAUAUAAAUCUGUUUUAAACAGCUAUCAGCCUUUAUUAAAACAACAGUUUGAGUAAAGAACUGAUUCUGUAAGAUUCCUAACAUCUAAUGAUGGAGAAACUGAAAGGUAUUAAUGUUUGUUGCGUGCUUCUAGUAAUAGCAGCUGAAUAACAUUUUUCCCAGCCACCUGGAUCUUCAUUUAGACAUUAUAAGAAACUGUACCUACGUUGCAAACUGGCCUUUUUCUUUCAUUUUCUGCAGUUCAUUUGUAUCCAGUCAGGCUGCAUCAAGAUUCAUUGCAUUUAAUGGGAAAUUCACUCUUCUGGAUCAGAUACCUAUUUUCAAUUUGGACAGUAUCUGAUUCCAAUGGCAGAGGUGACAGAAAUAAAGAGGAGAUGAGAAGCAACUGCCUAUGGUAUAGAUUUCUGCAAUGCUAACACAGCUGCCAGUUUCUGAACCAGUAGGAUUAUCCAGGACUCUCCAGGUUAGAAUUUACUUACAUUUUCCAAAUUAGGAUGGUGAAAGAAGAAAUGAAAAAUUAACUGUCUCUAGGUUUAUUUGAAAAAAUAACUAUUGCCUUUCUCUAAGAAUAAUAGUUUUCCACAUAAAAGUACCCUUGCCACAGUGUGUCUCCAGAGUCGCAGCCUUCCUAAGGAACCCAUUGCUCCAUAAUGAAGAUCUGCAAAAGUAUUCCUGACAUACAGCUUACAUCAGCAUCAGGCCCACUACUGGUCAGAGCGGGAUCAAGUUCAGGCUCAUUAUCACCUACUGUAUCUUUCUAGCCCCAGCUUGAGCACUUGACUGGGAGAAGAACAGUGGACAAGACUGUUGUGUGAACUUUUUUUAAAAUUAAAAAAUGUAUUGCCUGUGAAAACUUUUUUUUUUUUCUUUUCAAAGUCAUGUCAUGAAGAUGGCAUAUUGAUGGAAUUCAUGCUAGAAAGAACACCUGCACAGAUUUAUCUGUGUCAGAAAUGCUGGUGUUACCAUUUUCCUAACAAGGAGAAAGAAAAAUAGUAUGGUAUCAUAGCAUUAAUACUGUAGACUUCUGCUUCAGUUCACACAAUAGCAGUUUGUCCAGACUUAUCUGACCUAUUUGAAUUAUGGCAUAAAUUAGACCUGUGCAGGUUAUCCUUUUCAACUUGCUUACAGGCAUUUGGAAAACAUCAGUUCCUACAUAUUACUUAAACAAUAAGGAAAAUUUGGGGUCAUCUUUAUCUCCCACGUAUCUUGUCAUUGCACUCAUCUGACAUACUUACCUUGAAGAGCUGGCAUAUUUUGAGAAGAGAAUCAGAAGGGCAGGAAAAAAAGCAUUACUCUGAAUGUGAAAGAAUAGGCCAGGACAUCUAAGAGAGCCUACUUGUUAGCCUCUAAAGAAACUAUUGAAUCCUGCCCCAGUUUGUUGUGCACCCUAACCAAAUACUUCAUCAAACUUGAGUGACUGUGGCAUGUAAUCAAGCUGAAUGCCAGACAAAACAAGGGAACGAUUCUAGUUUGCCCUACAAGAUCAUGCAUAUUCAGAGGGCUUUCCAAAGGGCAUAGACCUGCGCCUUCCCACUCACUAAUACACAGCUCACCUAUAUUCCCCAAAUUCAGUACUUUCAUUCAUCUCAUCAGAUGAGGAAGCAACAGACACCCUCAAAGUCUCAUCUGAGAUAUGGCCUCUGCCCUUCCUCAGCCUGUUACAGAAAAUGCUCAACAGCUGCUGCCACUCCUGACUGCAGCUGCCAAUGGGAGAUCUGAACAGAGAUCCUCCUCUCUCUGACCAUCUGUUAAUUCUGGGAUGAGGAAAUCUACCUUGUAGACCUUGUUUCUGGCCAGCUGGCAUCCAGUCUUGUAACUCUGACUUUAUCAAGAAGAUAGCAAAAGCCAACUUCAGGGCUGCUUGAGUAGGCUUCAUAGAAGUUUUCCAGUCAAGAGAUAGAUGAACAUCAUAUUCAAAAAUAAAGUUAUAUCUAAUUAGAAAACACUCUUUAACUAACCUUGAGAUGCUCUAUGAAAACAGAGCAAGUUUGACCAAACUUUGGGUGAACAGUCAGUGAUCUUUUAAAGAACUACAUCUGGUGAAUUGCACUGGAUGCUGAAGAAUCCACAAUCCCAGCCCUGCUUUAAUAUAUUUUCUGGACUCUGCCAAUUAAAAUCCAGAGGAGUCAUCUGGGACCAACAGAUCCUGGAUUCCCUUUUUCUACAACAGAUCCUGUAAACCUCAUAGGGCUGUGGCUGCUGCCAAGGUCCAUGCACCUGCAGACUUUUUCCAUCAUGUCUUCCACGGCAGUGUUUGGCAGGAGCCUUGAGAGACACCUCCCCAUUGGGUCCAUCCCACGCUAGGCUUGGUGCCAGGCACUCCAAGUCCUAUCAGGCCCAUGGCAGUCCACUGCUCCUGACAGGCUGGAAAUGACUGGCAUGCUUGUCAGCUUUUCCUCUGCUCUGCAGACACCAGUUUUUCUGAGUAAUGUUUUCUUUCAUCUGGGCUGAACUGGGAGAGCCUGCCAUCUGGUAGGUGGUGACAUACCCUCAAUCAUUUACAUCUUCCUCAUUUCUUGGCUGGGCUGCAGCAGUGUGAUACACGCUGGAAAAACCAAGCAGCAGCAAACACUACAUCAUGUUUCCUCGGCAUCCAGGUGACUAUGGGCACAUCAGGCCUUCACCUCUGCUCUCUGCCUUGUCUGCAUAGGGGAUUCUAAAUCCAACGCAAGGGCUCAACGAGAUAGUCCCUAGCACAGCCCCUCAGCAGUCUGCCUUCAUCUUUGCACCAAAGGCAGUGGACAUGACUUCUCCAAGGAGCAGUCUACAGGGUGGAGGAAGCUUGCCUUGGGGAGAUAUUGAAUUUCAGUAGAGACUGGAGUCAGGGUGACUGUAAAGAGAGCAAACCUGACCGUUGCCCAGGGUUGCAGUUUUUUACCAGUAGCAAAGUGGCUGAAGCCAUGCUGCCUAUUUCCCCUGUGCCAGACCCACAGGAAGCAGGCAUUAUCGCCAGAGAGGCAAGGCCAGUGCCAGCAGUGGUUGUUCCUCUCUUGCCCUCCCUCUGCAGCAGCAGGGUCAGCCAUGCCAGCCCUCUGUGGCCUGCCUUGGUCAGCUUCCCAGCUCUGCUUAUCUUGCCUUCCCGUAGUCAGAGCAGCCUGGCUCUGACACUGCUUCCCCAAAAGAGCAAAAUUAGAUGUUACGUGUGCUCUGCAAAGGUUUGAGUCAGCUCUGCCUGGAACAAUCCCCUCAGGAGACCGCAGGCUGCUGCUAAGC